rnacentral:rRNA from 1 species
GACGAACGCUGGCGGCGUGCCUAAUACAUGCAAGUAGAACGCUGAAGAGAGGAGCUUGCUCUUCUUGAAUGAGUUGCGAACGGGUGAGUAACGCGUAGGUAACCUGCCUUGUAGCGGGGGAUAACUAUUGGAAACGAUAGCUAAUACCGCAUAACAAUGGGUGACACAUGUCAUUUAUUUGAAAGGGGCAAUUGCUCCACUACAAGAUGGACCUGCGUUGUAUUAGCUAGUAGGUGAGGUAACGGCUCACCUAGGCGACGAUACAUAGCCGACCUGAGAGGGUGAUCGGCCACACUGGGACUGAGACACGGCCCAGACUCCUACGGGAGGCAGCAGUAGGGAAUCUUCGGCAAUGGGGGCAACCCUGACCGAGCAACGCCGCGUGAGUGAAGAAGGUUUUCGGAUCGUAAAGCUCUGUUGUAAGUCAAGAACGAGUGUGAGAGUGGAAAGUUCACACUGUGACGGUAGCUAC